GCACUGUUGAAGAGUCCCAAAACAGGACGAAACGGUCGUUCAGUGC
rnacentral:hammerhead_ribozyme from 1 species